rnacentral:rRNA from 1 species
GAUGAACGCUGGCGGCGUGCCUAAUACAUGCAAGUCGAGCGAAUGGAUUAAGAGCUUGCUCUCAUGAAGUUAGCGGCGGACGGGUGAGUAACACGUGGGUAACCUGCCCAUAAGACUGGGAUAACUCCGGGAAACCGGGGCUAAUACCGGAUAAUAUUUUGAACUGCAUGGUUCAAAAUUGAAAGGCGGCUUCGGCUGUCACUUAUGGAUGGACCCGCGUCGCAUUAGCUAGUUGGUGAGGUAACGGCUCACCAAGGGAACGAUGCGUAGCCGACCUGAGAGGGUGAGCGGCCACACUGGGACUGAGACACGGCCCAGACUCCUACGGGAGGCAGCAGUAGGGAAUCUUCCGCAAUGGACGAAAGUCUGACGGAGCAACGCCGCGUGAGUGAUGAAGGCUUUCGGGUCGUAAAACUCUGUUGUUAGGGAAGAACACGUGCUAGUUGAAUAAGCUGGCACCUUGACGGUACCUAACCAGAAAGCCACGGCUAACUACGUGCCAGCAGCCGCGGUAA